rnacentral:rRNA from 1 species
AGAGUUUGAUCCUGGCUCAGGACGAACGCUGGCGGCGUGCUUAACACAUGCAAGUCGAACGGAAAGGCCCUGCUUUUGUGGGGUGCUCGAGUGGCGAACGGGUGAGUAACACGUGAGUAACCUGCCCUUGACUUUGGGAUAACUUCAGGAAACUGGGGCUAAUACCGGAUAGGAGCUCCUGCUGCAUGGUGGGGGUUGGAAAGUUUCGGCGGUUGGGGAUGGACUCGCGGCUUAUCAGCUUGUUGGUGGGGUAGUGGCUUACCAAGGCUUUGACGGGUAGCCGGCCUGAGAGGGUGACCGGCCACAUUGGGACUGAGAUACGGCCCAGACUCCUACGGGAGGCAGCAGUGGGGAAUAUUGCACAAUGGGCGGAAGCCUGAUGCAGCAACGCCGCGUGCGGGAUGACGGCCUUCGGGUUGUAAACCGCUUUCGCCUGUGACGAAGCGUGAGUGACGGUAAUGGGUAAAGAAGCACCGGCUAACUACGUGCCAGCAGCCGCGGUGAUACGUAGGGUGCGAGCGUUGUCCGGAUUUAUUGGGCGUAAAGGGCUCGUAGGUGGUUGAUCGCGUCGGAAGUGUAAUCUUGGGGCUUAACCCUGAGCGUGCUUUCGAUACGGGUUGACUCGAGGAAGGUAGGGGAGAAUGGAAUUCCUGGUGGAGCGGUGGAAUGCGCAGAUAUCAGGAGGAACACCAGUGGCGAAGGCGGUUCUCUGGGCCUUUCCUGACGCUGAGGAGCGAAAGCGUGGGGAGCGAACAGGCUUAGAUACCCUGGUAGUCCACGCUGUAAACGGUGGGUACUAGGUGUGGGGUCCAUUCCACGGGUUCCGCGCCGUAGCUAACGCUUUAAGUACCCCGCCUGGGGAGUACGGCCGCAAGGCUAAAACUCAAGGAAUUGACGGGGCCCCGCACAAGCGGCGGAGCAUGCGGAUUAAUUCGAUGCAACGCGUAGAACCUUACUGGUUUGACAUGGAUCGGGAGUGCUCAGAGAUGGGUGUGCCUCUUUUGGGUCGGUUCACAGGUGGUGCAUGGCUGUCGUCAGCUCGUGUCGUGAGAUGUUGGGUUAAGUCCCGCAACGAGCGCAACCCUUGUUCACUGUUGCCAGCACGUUAUGGUGGGGACUCAGUGGAGACCGCCGGGGUCAACUCGGAGGAAGGUGGGGAUGACGUCAAGUCAUCAUGCCCCUUAUGUCCAGGGCUUCACGCAUGCUACAAUGGCUGGUACAGAGAGUGGCGAGCCUGUGAGGGUGAGCGAAUCUCGGAAAGCCGGUCUCAGUUCGGAUUGGGGUCUGCAACUCGACCUCAUGAAGUCGGAGUCGCUAGUAAUCGCAGAUCAGCAACGCUGCGGUGAAUACGUUCCCGGGGCUUGUACACACCGCCCGUCAAGUCAUGAAAGUUGGUAACACCCGAAGCCGGUGGCCUAACCGUUGUGGGGGAGCCGUCGAAGGUGGGACUGGUGAUUAGGACUAAGUCGAAACAAGGUAACC